ensembl:lncRNA
CCGUGAGCAUCACGUCGAGGCGAAGCGAAGCAGAUCACAGCAUCCAAAUCUCUCCCCACAGACGCACGCACUACACAAGAGCCUGAGCGGUAGAGAUUGUGUGAGCUCACUUUCCAUCUGUGUUGGACGUCUCUAAACCGCCAGAAUAUCCAAGCGACCAACGAGGAGGCAGGUCAGGAGGGCCGUGAUCCAGGAGAGAGAGACAGAGAGAUGGAGGAGGCAAUGGAAUAAGGAGAUGAAAAGGAGAAAAUAAACUGUGGAGGAAAAGAGAAAAGGAUAAUGUCUCGGACAGAGGGAACCGGGGAGCCGUAACAAGAGUCACGUGAAGUGGACUCACCAAGGCGCUGAGAGCAGAUCGGCCAGAGAUCUGUCCCUGUGAAUCAUCAAGGUUAAAGGGAUGAUUGGGGAUGAUUUGGAAUUUGUGGAGUUGGCAGCAAUGAGGUGUAAGCUGAAAUAAAAAUGACCACAAUUGAAAAUAAGAAAGUAUCUUUGAGUAAUGGUUUUAUUCCCCUCAAGUCGUCUUUGGAUCUGUAUUGUAUGUAUUAAUGCCUCCACAAAUAUGUGUUUUUAGCCGUUCACAUCUGAAUCUUCGUCCGUUGGCUCAGUUUGUGGAAAAAAAAGUGCAUAAAACGAUCACAG